AAAGCUGAAAUGCACCUAUUUGGCAGGGACCUCUCUCACGCUGGCCAGGGAACCAUCAUACUGUCAUCACAGCUGGAUAUGACAGGUUCCAGGAGUUUAGAAAUUGUUCUUGACAUGGUGGGAAGCAUUUUCAUGUCCUCGCACCAGGAAUACGUCAUUUCCUAUCUCCUUCCCAGCCCUGGUGUGGCAAGAGCAGAGUUAGAGUGA
rnacentral:lncRNA from 1 species